rnacentral:rRNA from 1 species
GACGAACGCUGGCGGCGUGCUUAACACAUGCAAGUCGAACGGAAAGGCCCUGCUUUUGUGGGGUGCUCGAGUGGCGAACGGGUGAGUAACACGUGAGUAACCUGCCCUUGACUUUGGGAUAACUUCAGGAAACUGGGGCUAAUACCGGAUAGGAGCUCCUGCUGCAUGGUGGGGGUUGGAAAGUUUCGGCGGUUGGGGAUGGACUCGCGGCUUAUCAGCUUGUUGGUGGGGUAGUGGCUUACCAAGGCUUUGACGGGUAGCCGGCCUGAGAGGGUGACCGGCGACAUUGCGACUGAGAUACGGCCCAGACUCGUACGGGAGGCAGCAGUGGGGAAUAUUGCACAAUGGGAGGAAGCCUGAUGCAGCAACGCCGCGUGCGGGAUGACGGCCUGCGGGUUGUAAAACGCUUUCGCCUGUGACGAAGCGUGAGUGACGGUAAUGGGUAAAGAAGCACCGGCUAACUACGUG